rnacentral:misc_RNA from 1 species
GAUGAAGAACGUAGCGAAAUGCGAUAAGUAAUGUGAAUUGCAGAAUUCAGUGAAUCAUCGAAUCUUUGAACGCACCUUGCGCCCUUUGGCUAUUCCGAAGGGCAUGCCUGUUUGAGUAUCAUGAACACCUCAACUCUCAUGGUUCUGCCAUGAUGAGCUUGGACUUUGGAGGUCUUGCUGGCCCCUGUGGUCAGCUCCUCUCAAAUGGAUCAGCUUGCCAGUGUUUGGUGGCAUCACAGGUGUGAUAACUAUCUACGCUUGUGGUUUUCCACCAGGUAACCUUCAGUGAUGGAGGUUCGCUGGAGCUCAUAAACGUCUCUCCUCAGCGAGGACAGCUUCUUGAAUGUUUGAUCUCAAAUCAGGUAGGGCUACCCGCUGAACUUAAGCAUAUCAAUAAGCGGAGGA